rnacentral:ncRNA from 13 species
AGCUUGUCCGGGUCCACGGCGCGCGAGGCCAGCAGGUAGUCGCGCAUCACGAUGCCGUGGCGGCCCUC